CGCACUCAAUGUAGUAAUUCUAGGGCUUCUCCCCAAACUCAACCCUAAAUCUAUCUGCGCACAACCUUUAUCAGAUCGAAAACUCCCAAUCUCUAGUCCAAACCUUUCAACCUCUUGCACAAUUCGAAACUCUUUCUAAAUUUUCAGAUCUGCGUUCUUCUUUUUCGAAAUAAACACCCCACAAAUCAACGCUCUUCUUCAAGUGAAAAAAUCACUUGUACAAAUUCAGAUGCUCAAGCGCAAUCGCAUCUGUUUCUGCCAACUGUAGCCAUACCCUCAGACACAAUAUGCAACAUUUGGCAAGCUGAAAACAUAAAAAACCGAAGCAUCUUCAUCAAAUCGGAAUAUUAUGUUUAAAAAGGUAUGAAAACCGCUAUCCUUACACCUUAAUCUAGAUCUAUACCUCAAAUCAGACAAAUUUAUUAACCUAAAAUUGAUUUGUAGGGCAUGGCUUCAUGAUUAUUGUAAACCCCAAUAUUUUCAUCUAAUAUUUUUUUUCCGAAAAAAUCAUCUGUUACUAACUAAAUCUACUCUGUUGCUGUUUUACCAGAAUCAUUGUACCAACGAUUCUAAAACAAAAGUUAAGUAAUUUAUCUAGUCCAUUCUUAUUAUUAAUUUCACAUUGCUAAGAAAUCGCCUGUUUUCUCCUGUGUAUUUUUGCUUUAUUUAUGAGUUUUGUUACUAAUAUUACAAUUUUGGUGAUUUUCUGACAGAGCAGAAAAUAAUGAUGAGGCGAAAAAAAAAUUAUAUACGGAGAGAUGAAGAUCUACGAAAGGUUAUGAUGCAGAUAAGUAUCCCUCCACAUACACUAUACACAAAGAUAGAACAACAAUGAAUACCUGCAGAAAUUUCAUCUGCAUUUUGAUUGAUGCCUCGAAUCUUAAGUGAUUUUGUCAGUUUCCGCAUUUAAACAAACCUGUUUACAUAUAUGAAAAAAUUAGUAAAAACAAAUUGUAACGCAGUACAUAAAUAAAUAUCAGAUAAUCUUCAAUACAAAAACCCUUAUAGACUGAUGUGAAGAAUAUUAUGACUCUUUUAGAAAAAAUGGAAGCUUCUUAGAAUUGGUAAAAUGAACACUUAAGUGAAUCUGUUGUAACAAUGAUGAAAAAAGUGAAUCUAUUGUACCUGAUAAAUGAGAAUUUAUUACAGUUUUUAUUUAUAUAAGAGCUGGAAAACACAUCCAUUGAUGUAUCAAUUUCACGUAUCUCUGAGGUGUUUUUGUUUUAUAUAAAUUUCUUUAUAAUUUUGAUCGGGUUUAUUUUACUUUUUAUUUGGAAACGAAUUGCGAUUUCUUUGAAAGAGGCGGUGAUCUCGAAACAUAUACCAUCAAACUAUGAAAGCCUUGUAAUUUGGCUUGUUGAUGCGAAUCUAUAAUUAUUCUGAGCCUUCUGAUUUAAUCUUUGGUUUUGUUUGUUGUUUGCUUUGAAGAAACGUUUUUUUCCGAUUAUAAGGCAACAAAUUAGAGUCAUUGAUGCACUGUGUAAAUUAUAAUGGUGUUUUCAGUGCCGUGUGCUGCCGAAUCAUAAUUUUUAAGGUGCUGUGAUUCUGGCAUCAGUUUAUUUUUCCUUUGAGCUAUUGCAUUCUGAUGUGCCUACAUUUUUAAAUGUUGUUGGAGGUUGUAUUUCAUUUGAGAAUUUAUUAAGACACGAAUGUCAAUCAAAUUAUCAAAAAGGUAUUUCUGUCCAUAUAACUAGCGAUUCGCAAUUAGGGUUUUUGGCCUAAAGCUUUAAAUACACAUCAGUCGAAUUCAUCUAUUUCAUCGCCUCUCCCCAAAUACCUCCUCCUUUUCUUCUCCCUCUAGUAACAAUUUCGAUCACUUACUUCAGUUUCGUACAUACCGAUGAUAAAUUUAUGUGGCCGGUGAUGCAUAGAGAAUUGUCCGUACCAUCUGAUUUCGUUGAUGUAUUAAUCUCACAUAUCUCAAAGGCCUUUUUGUUUUAUAUAAAUUUCUUUAUAAUUUUGAUUUGUUUUAUUUGGAAACGAAUUGCGAUUUCUUCGAAAGAGGCGGUGAUCUCGAAACAUAUACCAUCAAACUAUGAAAGCCUUGUAAUUUGGUUUGUUGAUGCGAAUCUAUAAUUAUUCUGAGCCUUCUGAUUUAAUCUUUGGUUUUGUUUGUUGUUUGCUUUGAAGAAACAUUUUUGUUCCGAUUAUAAGGCAACAAAUUAGAGUCACUGAUGCACUGUGUAAAUUAUAAUGGUGUUUUAGUGCUGUAGUGCGAAUGAUAAUUUUUAAGGUGCUGUGAUUCUGGCAUCAGUUUAUUUUUCCUUUGAGCUAUUGCAUUCUGAUGUGCCUACAUUUUAAAUGUUGUUAGAGGUUUUAUUUCAUUUGAGAAUUUAUUAAGACAUGAAUGUCAAUCAAAUUAUCGAAAAGGUAAUUUUGUCCAUAUAACUAGCGAUUCGCUAAUUAGGGUUUCUGGCCUAAACUUUAAAUACACAUCAGUCGAAUUCAUCUAUUUCAUCGCCUCUCCCCAAAUACCUCCUUUUCUUCUCCCUCUAUUAACAAUUUCGAUCACUUACUUCAGUUUCGUACAUAAUGAUGAUAAAUUUAUGUGGCCGGUGAUGCAUAGAGAAUUGUCCGUACCAUCUGAUUUCGUUGAUGUAUUAAUCUCACGUAUCUCUGAGGCCUUUUUGUUUUAUAUAAAUUUCUUUAUAAUUUUGAUUGGUUUUAUUUGGAAACGAAUUGCCAUUUCUUCGAAAGAGGCGGUGAUCUCGAAACAUAUACCAUCAAACUUUGAAAGCCUUGUAAUUUGGCUUGUUGAUGCGAAUCUAUAAUUAUUCUGAGCCUUCUAAUUUAAUCUUUUGUUUUGUUUGUUGUUUGCUUUGAAAAAAUGUUUUUGUUCUGAUUAUAAGGCAACAAAUUAGAGUCACUGAUGCACUGUGUAAAUUAUAAUGGUGUUUUCAGCGCUGUACGUUGCCGAAAGAUAAUUUUUAAGGUGCUGUGAUUCUGGCAUCAGCUUAUUUUUCCUUUGAGCUAUUGCAUUCAAAUGCGCCUACAUUUUAAAUGUUGUUAGAGCUUUUAUUUCUAGUCAUAGUUUCAGAUUAAUUUCUAAUUUUUGAAACAUCAAUGAAGGAGGUGAGCCUCUGGAAUUCCACGUAAAAUGUCAUUCCUCAAAAGUACAGAUCCUGCACCAUACACAAAGAACACAACCAAAACGAACAUCAAGCAAAGAAAAGGAAAAAUAGAAAUAAAAAGAAACUAAGAAAAACAUGGGUUGUCUCCCAUGCAUCGCUAGUUUUACCGUCGCCAGUCCGACUAAAAAGAACUCUUAACCAAAGUCUGAUUGAAAUGUCAGUUGCUUAAAUGCCUGUGUAAACACACCCUCUUUAAUUACAGCUGUUGGCCCUCGUUAUGAGCNUACCUACAGGAAGCGCUGAGAAGCGCACAAAGCGCGCCUAGGUUAGAAGCGCUGAAGCGCGGGCUUUAGUAUGUAGGUUAGGUUUAAAUUAAAAACUAGGUUUAUUUCUUAAACAAAUGCUUGCCUCCCGUCUUCUCCCAUCCCUCUCGCGACCUUAACCUGUUAUGCCCACCAUCCGGCACCGUUAAAUGCUUCUAAUUAUGUUAAGGCGGGUAAGUAGUUUAGAUCAUCUAUCAUCUUUAAUUUUAUAUUUUUCAGUUCCAACUUCCAAGUUGUUUUUACUUAAUGAUUAAAGCUUAAUCUUUUUUUCAUAGGGAAAUUGCUUAUGGCCAAAAGACCACAUCUUUAUUGGACUCCAUGUGCCGCACAUUGUGUGGACUUGAUGUUGGAGGAUAUUGGAAAGCUUCCAAAGAUCAAGAAUGCCCUUAAGAAGGCGAUCUUCAUGAAUGGUUAUAUAUAUAACCAUGUCGGCGUUGUGAACAUGAUGAGGAGAUUCACCAAUCAAAGGAAUUUGCAUCGACCGGCGGUCACAAGGUUUGCAACUUUCUUCCUCACUCUUGCACAAUAUCACAAGCAAAAAUAUAAUUUGAGGAAGAUGGUCACUUCGGAAUUGUGGAUUGCUUCAAAGUGGCAAAAGGAUGCGGGGGGGGGGGAGAUGACAUCUCUUUUGUUUUGCAAGACACAUUUUGGAGGAAUGUGUUGUAUGCUCUUAAGUUGGUAGAUCCUCUUGUGAAAGUACUUCGGAUGGUUGAUGGGGAUAAAAAAUCGGCUAUAGGAUACAUUUAUGAAGCUAUGGAUAGAGCUAAGGAGGUUAUUGCUAAGAGUUUUGGUCAGAAGGAGGAGCAUUACAAAGAAGCUUUUGAGAUAAUUGAUAAAAGAUGGGAUUGCCAACUUCAUCGCCCUUUACAUGCGGCUAGAUACUUUCUAAAUCCGGAAAUCUAUUAUGAUAAUCCGGAGGGAGUGAGUUGUCAAGAGGUUGAGAAAGGCUUGUAUGAAAGCAUCCAAAGGUUGGUUCGCGAUGAAGCAAGUCAAGACAAGACCAUGGUUGAGUUAGAUGCCUACAAAAAUGCAACGGGGUCUAUUUGGCAAUGCAAUGGCGAUUAGACAUAGAAAGAUGAAAUCACCGGGUAAUAUUUCAUAUUUGAAAUUUCUAAUUGAUUUAAAAUUAAUUUAUAUCCCAUAUUCUAACAACAAUUUAUUUUUAAAAUGUCUAUAGCGGAUUGGUGGUCUUGUUAUGGAUCUUCAAGUCCCAACAAAUCUUUUGCGAUAAAAGUUCUUAGCCUCACUUGUAGUGCUACCAGAUGUGAGGGAAAUUGGAGUGUCUUUCAACAUGUAAGUUAUUAUUAUAUUUUACUUUUGCUAGAAUACAUAAAUUAUAAUUUUAAUCUAUUAUUUUAAAUAUUUUUAUAGCUUCAUACCAAGAAGAGAAACCGAUUGGCACAAGACCGACUAAAUCACUUGAUUUAUGUGAAGUAUAAUCGCACUUUGGAAAGGCGAUACAAGAGGAAAGACACAAUAGAUCCUAUUUUAUUAGAAGAGAUUGAUGAUAGCAAUGAAUGGUUGCUUGGACAUAUGGAUGAGGACUCUUCUAAUGAAGAUAGUGAUCUUGUGUUUGGAGAUGAUAAUUUGACAUGGAGUGUCGUUAGCAAGGCUUCGGGAGCUAAUGAUCCUAUUUAUAGCACUAGACAUGCAUCUAGAGUUGAUAAAGGAAAGGGUGUAGUUGCUUCGGGUUCGAGAAGACUCUUAGAUGAGGAUGAGGAUGAGGUUGGGAAGGAGAUGGAAGAGGACAUUGGCGAAGACAAAGAUGAUGAAGGAGAUGGGGAUGAUGCACUUAAUGAUGAUGAUUUUUGAUUAGUUGCUUGAGAUUUGAUUGAACUUUUAGACUUGCGUACUUUAAACUUAAGUAUUUGUGUGUUUUAAUUUUUAAAUUAAGUAUUUGUGUGUUUAAGUAUUUGUGGUUUUAAGUAUUUGUGGUUUUAAGUAUUUGUGUUUUUUGCUAUAAAAUAUAUUGUAGGUAAAUAUAUUAGAAUUUUUUGGGUUUUAGCGCGCCUCGCCUACGAAAAGCCCGCGCUUUCACCAAAAGCCCGCGUUUUAAGCCCCAGGGCAGUUUGCACUUCGGUGCGCUUCACGCUUUUUUAAACCAAGAUUUUGAUUGGUUUUAUUUGGAAACGAAUUGCGAUUUCUUCGAAAGACGUGGUGAUCUCGAAACAUAUACCAUCAAACUAUGAAAGCCUUGUAAUUUGGCUUGUUGAUGCGAAUCUAUAAUUAUUCUGAGCCUUCUGAUUUAAUCUUUGGUUUUGUUUGUUGUUUGCUUUGAAGAAACGUUUUUGUUCCGAUUAUAAGGCAACAAAUUAGAGUCACUGAUGCACUGUAUAAAUUAUAAUGGUGUUUUUAGCGCUGUACGUUGCCGAAAGAUAAUUUUUAAGGUGCUGUAAUUCUGGCAUCGGCUUAUUUUUCCUUUGAGCUAUUGCAUUCAGAUGCGCCUACAUUUUAAAUGUUGUUAGAGCUUUUAUUUUCUUUGAGAAUUUAUAAAGACAUGAAUGCAAUCAAAAUAUCGAAAAGGUCAUUUCUGUCCAAAUAACUAGCGUUUCGCAAUUAGGGUUUUUGGCCUAAAGCUUUAAAUACCCAUCAGUCGAGUUCAACUAUUUCGUCGCCGCUCCCCAAAUUCCUCCUCUUCUCCCUCUAGUAACAAUUUCGAUCUCUUACUUCAGUUUCGUACAUAACGAUGAUAAAUUUAUGUGGCCGGUGAUGCAUAGAGAUUUGUCCGUACCAUCUGAUUUCGUUGAUGUAUCAAUUUCACGUAUCUCUGAGGUCUUUUUGUUUUAUAUAAAUUUCUUUAUAAUUUUGAUCGGGUUUAUUUUACUUUUUAUUUGGAAACGAAUUGCGAUUUCUUCGAAAGAGGCGGUGAUCUCAAAACAUAUACCAUCAAACUAUGAAAGCCUUGUAAUUUGGCUUGUUGAUGCGAAUCUAUAAUUAUUCUGAGCCUUCUGAUUUAAUCUUUGGUUUUGUUUGUUGUUUGCUUUGAAGAAACGUUUUUGUUCCGAUUAUAAGGCAACAAAUUAGAGUCAUUGAUGCACUGUGUAAAUUAUAAUGGUGUUUUCAGUGCUGUACGCUGCCGAAUGAUAAUUUUUAAGGUGCUGUGAUUCUGGCAUCAGCUUAUUUUUCCUUUGAGCUAUUGCAUUCUGAUGCGCCUACAUUUUAAAUGUUGUUAGAGGUUUUAUUUCAUUUGAGAAUUUAUGAAGACACGAAUGCAAUCAAAAUAUCGAAAAAGGUUUUUUUGUCUAAAUAGCAAUUCGCAAUUAGGGUUUCUGGCCUAAAGCUAUAAAUACCCAUCAGUCGAGUUCAUCUAUUUCGUCGCCUCUCCCCAAAUUCCUCCUCCUCUUCUCCCUCUAGUAACAAUUUUAAUCUCUUACUUCAGUUUCGUACAUAACGGUGAUAAAUAUAUGUGGCCGGUGAUGCGUAGAGAAUUGUCCGUACCAUCUGAUUUCGUUGAUGUAUUAAUCUCACAUAUCUCUGAGGCCUUUUUGUUUUAUAUAAAUUUCUUUAUAAUUUUGAUUGGUUUUAUUUGGAAACGAAUUGCGAUUUCUUCGAAAGAGGCGGUGAUCUCGAAACAUAUACCAUCAAACUAUGAAAGCCUUGUAAUUUGGCUUGUUGAUGCGAAUCUAUAAUUAUUCUGAGCCUUCUGAUUUAAUCUUUGGUUUUGUUUGUUGUUUGCUUUGAAGAAACAUUUUUGUUCUGAUUAUAAGUCAACUAAUUAGUGUCACUGAUGCACUGUGUAAAUUAUAAUGGUGUUUUCAGCGCUGCACGUUGCCGAAAGAUAAUUUUUUAAGGUGCUGUGAUUUUGGCAUCGGCUUAUUUUUCCUUUGGGCUUAUUUUUCUGUGGGACGAGAGCCGGGUUGGUUUGGGGACGAUGGUUAGGCCGGAGUUCCGGAAACUUACCCUGCCGCUCUCUCUCACUCUUUCUCUUUUGGUUGUUUAGAUGUGUACUCUUUUUCCUUUUUACGGUUUUUCCCAUGUGGUUUUCCGUAAAAAGGUUUUAACGAGGCUCGGCCCUUAGACUGCGUUCUUGUGCUUUCAGGGGUUUCUUAGGUUUUUCUUUUUUAUAUAAUAUCGCAUUUUAAUUAAUUGCAUUCAGAUGCGCCUACAUUUUUCAUGUUGUUAGAGCUUUUAUUUCUAGUCAUAGUUUCAGAUUAAUUUCUAAUUUUUGAAACAUCAAUGAAGGAGGUGAGCCUCUGGAAUUCCACGUAAAAUAUCAUUCCCCAAAAGCACAGAUCAUGCACCAUACACCAAGAUCACAACCAAAACGAACAUCAAGCAAAGAAAAGGAAAAAUAGAAACAAAAAGAAACUAAGAAAAACAUGGGUUGUUUCUCAUGCAGCGCUAGUUUUACAGUCGCCAGUUCGACUAAAAAGAACUCUUAACCAAAGUCUGAUUGAAGCGUCAGCUGCUUAAAUGCCUGUGUAAACACACCAUCUUUAAUUACAGCUGUUGGCCCUCGUAAUGAGCAAACAACGCUUAUCGCAUCCAAUGAUUUCUGUACAACUCUUCUUUGGGAGCCAGAUUGAAAACUCCCCUCUUCCAUUUUCUCUAAAGGCAGUAGUGACAGUACACACUGCAAUCCUUGUACUACAUCAUCCUUGCGUUGCAACAUGCCCAUAAAUUCUUCUUCAAUGGCUGCCUCCUCUUGCAUUAUUUCAUAUUCGUGUGGCAACUUGUCCAGUGACUCUUCUUCAUCGGCCACCUCAUCUUGCAAGUUAGCAAGAAACUCUGCACAAUGUCGUCCUUGUCCUGCAUAAUAUCAUCUUUCUCUUGCAGGUUAUCAAGAAAUUUCUGCACAAUACGAUCUUCAUCCAAAGCGUCAAAUAUCUCAACAUAAGAACAAUUUAUCAAUGAAGGAUUAGGAGCAAUAGAUUUCUUAUAAAAAACUGAGAAUGUUACCGAUCUACCUGACCCUGCUAUACUUAAAGUUCCCGAUCCCACGUCAAUGCGAGUAUGGGUGGUAGCCAUAAAGGGCCGACCAAGCAGAACAAGAUGACCAUUCUCUCCUCUAAUUCCUUUACCAGCAUCAAGCACCAAAAAAUUCACCAGCACUCUAACUCCUCUCACAGUGACUUCGACAUCCUCUACAAGUCCUCGGGGACUGCUAAUGGAACCGUCAGCUAGCUCUAUUCUCAUAUCAGUGCACUUCAGCUCGUCUUCCUUCCUGCCCUGAAAAAUGUGCAAGAUUAUAUACUAAUCCCUCCAUCCGCCAAGAUUAUGUCAAAUUGCUUGGGCACAAGAUUUAAUAAAAUUGGUGAUGAUUUUAAUGUAGUGGAGAAAGAGUCCUACCACUUUAUGAGAUGUGUGGUUGAGAUUGAAUUGAGGUGAGUUUUUUAUAAAUAAAGGGUGUUAGUAAGGAUAAAAUAUUAAAGAGGAUGGUGGGACUAUUGCCUUAAAAGAAAGUGACAUAAUCUUGGCGGACGUCCGAUAUAGUAAUUGUGACAUAAUUUUGGCGGACGGAGGGAGUACAUGGAUUUAUAUGUUAAGAAAAGGCUUCUAGAAAUUUGAUGUGUUGUCAUGAGACAAAUGAAGCUCUUUUAAUUAAAUUACAAGUGUCCUUUCUUUUUAUUUUUAAUUCUCAAACAUCCUAUACGUAUAGAAACAUCUAAUUUACUUACUUUCCUCAUACUUCUCGAUAGAACACUAGUCUCGAAAGAAAGUGAAUAAUAAAGUUUAAGGUUAUCAUGCUUCUUAUGAUUUUUUUUAAUUCUUGAAAGUAUGUGUGCACAUAGGGUUUUAAUUUUAUGAAAGAUUUAUGUUAGAAUCAUGAUAUUUGUGAUUUGGUAUCAAAAAGUUACGUAUAGAGUUGAUGGCUGAAGGUGCCAUUUUCGGCCAGAAUUUUUAGUUGAUUUGUUAAACUCGUUUUCUUAUGGUAAAAAUGAGGAAUGAGAUUUUUAAUUUUUCUGUAGAUUAUAUAGUGUUGUUAGUGUUAUAAUAUUAAAUUUCAUAAUUUUCUUAAAGAAUUAGUAUUUUUCAAAAAUAUUGGAAAAUGGUUGCGAAAACUAUGAAAAAUCCCCUGUUUGGGAGUAGCUUUCACUUAAUGAUUCGUAAGUUUAAGGUCCUUUUGAUUUGAAACUUUUACUGAAUCACUUUAUUAUGUUAUAUCCUCAUGUAAAAUUUCAUAGAUAUUUGAGUUCAUCUUAUAUGUUCACUCUUAAUUCUAAAAAGGUUGGUCAAUAUCAAAUAGUUUUGCUAAGUUAUAGUUCAAGGUGUAUAAUCCCCUGUCCUUUGGUAUUUUUUUAGUUGUUAUUUUAUUUUUAAUUGUAAACUAGACAUUCAAGGUUUCUAGAAAUAUAUGGAUUAUAUUUUUAUCUAUUUUAUACAAUAAUAUAAAAUUUUCCAAAUAAGUUAGUUCUACAGAGGUGUUUUAUUGGACUAGUUAUUUUGGUUAAUGUUUCACAAAUUAUUUCAAAGGUCAUAUAUAGUGAUAUUAAUCUGAAUUUUGUUCCAUAUUAAAUAUAAUGCCUUGUGAUCUUGUGGUUUGAAUUUCAGCUGCAUUUGAUGACGUUUAAUAUUUAUUAAGUAAUUUCUAAUUAUAUGGUUUGAAACUGUCCAUUUUGUCCCAUAUUAAAUACAAUACCUUUUUGUCCAGGCUUUGAUUACUUAUUUCAGUUAUGUAUUCGUUCUGUUCUUUAAUGUUCUGUUUUUCUUUGUGCGCAAGUUUAUAGGUUAUCUUGUUAAGGGGGAAUAGUAUUCACCUGUUUAGUAACUUGCUUUCAUGUUCAGUAUUUUCUUGUCUUAGAAUUGAUUGUAUGUUUUGGCAUAAUAAAAAUGGGGAAAUUGUUGGGAACUUAGUGAAAUAUUCCUUGCCUAGUUUUGAUGAUACCAAAAUCCUUAAGUUUUCUUUGUAAUAGACUAGAACCUUUCGAACUCAAGUGUUGGAGUUCAUCUUCUAGUUGUUUAGUGUUCUGAAGAUUGAAGACUGAAGACCGGAGGAAUGAAAGAAUGAAGAACGAAUGACUGAAGACUGAAGAUUGAAGAACUCGACUGAUGGUUCGCGUUUCAAGGCAGAGUCAAACACUGAUGUCUGACUGAUCGAGUUUCUCAACUAAAGGAUCAGUUACGACUGAUUCAUUUAAUGCAGACCACGUGGAUUUAGCGGACUGAUACUAAAGUCAAUAUCAGUUAACAUUCUUCCUCGGACUGAACCUCCAAAGUUAAAGGAAGCCACACACUCCCAAGUACAGCGCAUUAAAUGCAGAGAUUUUAAGGAUCGUCUUCUCUGCAAAGCAUUCUUUUUGUGAUUACUUUUCAGAGACGUCUUACCCCUGUACCUGAGUAGCGUUUCUCACCAAACAAGGAACCUCGAAGAUUGAAGCCUCAGCAAAGUUUGAAUUUCUCUCCAACGGAUGAAUUCUUGAAGACCAUCUCUGCCAACGGAUCUAUUCAAGACCUCUCCUAUAAAUAGAGCUCGAGGAUCACUUCAAUCUUCACCGAUUCAAAUACACAAGCUGAAACGCUACCGAAAUCGCUACUCAGCAAAUCAAAACCUUCCAAAGUUUGAAUCGAAGAAGAGAAUCCUAAAGCCAAAAUUAGUCUACUACUGAUUACAUACAUUCUCUUAGAACCUUAGGCAAAUAUUGUAUAUCCAAAGCCUAAGUUACUGAUUACAGAGAGCCUGUUCUCUGUGAUCUAGUUGGCACGUUUUCGAACCUUUUUCAACUGACCGAAAGUGUUUGAGCCGAAGAGUUCAAACCAGUGUUCUGACUCCAAGAGAUCUUAGCAGUCGCAGGGUAGACAUUGUUAUACGAGCCUUAAACGGAGCAAAAUGCACAAAAUAUUUUAUUGGAUAAAUAGUUUGCAUUUCAUUAAUUAAAUAGUUGCAUAUCAUUGAAACAUUUAGAGCUUAAUAACUCAAUCAUACUUAUACAUUUGGAAAGAAGCCCACCUGGAUAGGCAAAGCCUGAAGAUCAUACACAUAGAAAUCUGACUUGGUAAAACAGCGCUAAUCCCCUAGGUUCUCAAAGCCUACAAGAAAUUCUAUUCUUAAUAGGUCUCGUGAAGCUAACUUAUAGUCUUAGUGGGUGUGCUUAAUUACUAUGAUUCUGUCACGGACACCUCGGCUUAAUUAAGGAUAACUAAGCCGGGAAGCCGCGACGAAGGGACACAGUUAUCGACGGCGAUAGAAAGGGAGUUUCUGUCACGAUCGGACUUAAUUAAGGAUAAAUAAGCCAGGAAAACGUAACUAGACACAGUUAUCGACGGCGAUAAAAAGGGGGACAAAUAAUAGAGGAUGAACUAAAAUUUAGUUUAAAAGGGAAAAGUUUAAUUAAUAACACCUGAUGUUUAGUCACAAGACUCGAACAGACUUGUAGGUUCAUAUAAAACUGGCUUAACUGAAAGAACAUAAAACCUAAGAGUACGCAGCGGAAUAACAUAAUCUGAUUACAUGUAUGAAGACAUGUAUCCAAGAGUUCAUUCAUUUAACUAUGACAAAAGCUCCGCUCUUCACUUCAUCUCCAUCAGCCACUGCUCAACCUGCACAUUUAGAAAUAUAUGCAGGGCUGAGUACGAGAGUACUCAGUGGGCACGUAUGCCUAAAUAUAAAAUACAUGCAUCAUAAAACUGUAAAUUGUCAUGCCAUCAUAAAGUACACAAGGGAGUUUUGUGAAAUAGGCCCAAGCUUACUAAAUUCUUUGUGAUUCUUAAAGUUGUCUGAUCAGACUAAGUUCUCUUGUAUUCUAUCAUAUCUGGAACUGUGUGUCGGAGGGGUGGCCACCUCUCACGAACACUUGACCGGCCAACCCGCUAGAUGACUCACGAUCAUUGGUGUACACUAGUCAAGGCAGGAUAGCUAUCAACUGCUCAAGACCCGAAUUCGAUUACAUCAUUGGCAAAGCCAAAGCAGAUAGAUAUCAUACUAAAAAUGAAACAUUUUAUGGCAAGACAAUACUUGAAAUAACUUGUCAAACGGUAGCAUUAAACUGUUUGUAGUAUAUAAAACUGAAAUUAACAGUUAAACAUCUCAUGCCUUCAUCUGUAAAAGAGGCCUACGACACGCAGGGGAUCUCCAUAUACGUAUAGUGAAAGUAAUGCCCACCUGAUAGCAAAGCUUUGCUUCAGUUCAAUAACUCCUUGACUAGCUCUUACUCUUGCGCUUAACCUAAUGCGAGAACAUAAGGUCAAACCUUAGCUCGAUGAAAAUUCUCAAAUAAAUGAGAAUGCGUAAUGAAUAUGCAUGACUCAUAUUCCUUUCUAUUACUGAGAUAAUACUUAGGGAAACUUUAUCACUAGUCCUUGUUAUUAAAAACAAUUAAACCAACUAGGUUUCGUCUCAUGAAGUCAAGUAAUUAACUAUAUUGAUUCGUUCUCAUUAGGGUGUUCUAAACUGCCACUUAAACAUAAUUCCCCCUUCGUGUAGGCAAAGGGAAAAUGAAUAAAACUCAAACACCCUAAGUUCUUAUCUCUCUCUCUCUCGCGAUCUGCUCUGUCUCUUCGCUCUCUGCUCUGGAAAUCAGCUCUGGCUUCUAAGUCAGCUCUGGCUGACUUAGCUCUGAAAAGUCAGCUCUGGCCUCCGAAAGUCAGCUCUGGCGACUUAGCUCUGAAAGUCAGCUCUGGCCUCCGAAAGUCAGCUCUGGAGCGGCUUGCUCUGGAAUUCCAGCUCUGCUCUCGAAUUUCCAGCUCUGCUCUGGAAUUCCAGCUCUGCUCUGGAAUUUCCAGCUCUGCUCUGGCAAUUCCAGCUCUGCUCUGGAAUUUCCAGCUCUGCUCUGGCAAUUCCAGCUCUGCUCUGGCAAUUCCAGCUCUGCUCUGGCGUUUCUGGGCAGAACGACGAGGAUUUCCAGUUCCCAAAACCAGAGUUCUUCGUCCUUUCUUGCCUCGAUUCUCACUCGUACACCGGCCUAAAUCUAUUCCUAUGUGAGCAUGCUGUGCUUGUUCAAGUUCAUCUACGUUUCGAGCUAAAGUUCUCGUCGUUUAAUCCAGUUUUCAAGUCGUGGGUUCUCCGGAAAAGUGGCUUAACAUGCUUCUUGUGUUCGUUCGUAUCUCGAGCCUUAAACAUGCUUUUUGAGCGUGUGAUUCAUGCUGAAAGGAGUGGCAACAGAGGUCGAGAGUUACCUUGAUGUCGCUUGCUUUGGUCGGUAAAAACGAUGGUUUCCCUUCGCAUUUUCGAUCGUCGAGGUGCAAGGCGUCGAGAGGGGUGGAGCUCUUGCUGUUGCUGCUGAUUUUAGAGUGUCGAAGGGGAGAGGGGUGGUUCAGGGGUUGAAGGUGAGUUUUAAUAGGGGUUGGUUGAUGUGCUUGAGUGCCUAGGGGAGAGCUUGGUUGUAGCCCUGCCUUGCGUGGAAUAGGGGUGCAGCAGGCGUGCUGAGCUCUGCUGUGGUGUUGCGUGGGGAGGGCUGCUGCUGCUCUGCCGGCGUGGAGAUGGAGUGUGGCCUUUCGGCUGCUCGUCCAAUGGAGGCUGCUGCCGUGGCUGCUCUGAUCUGGCGUGGAGUGUGGCGUGGCGUGGGAGAGGGGUGCAGCAGGCGGCUCUUCGGCUGCCCAGCCAAUGGGGGCUGCUGCCGCACCUUUUCCACUUUUCCUUUUCUCCAUUUUUCCUUCUUUUCUUUACUUGUAGCGUUGGCAAGUGUUGGGAUUGGGUGGCGUGAGUGGUGAAGUGAUCUAAGAGAAGAUCUAAAUAAAAUCCUUCAGUGUCGGUCACUCUCAGUAUUAAAAAUACUGGUUUCGUGCUUGCUAACAUCGAUAAUGCUAAAUUAAAUCCGUAGAUUCAAUCCGUUCGUCAUUCUAAUACUUAAAUUAAAUCCGUAGAUUUAAUUAGCUUCAAAGUCGGAAAUAAUUCACGACUUAAGUAACAAUGCGAAAAUAAACUCCAUCAUGAUAAAUAACACAACUUAGCUAAGUUGGUUAUAACCUCGAGUAAUAAUAAUUCAUCGACUCAAAGAUUCUCAUCGCGGUCUUAAACACGCGAAGAUAAAUAAAGCAUACUGUUAGCUAAGUAACUCUGUCUCCAAAAAUGUAAUUCAGAAACAUAGUUGAAAACAUAAAGUGCUUCAUGUACUGGCAGAUAGAUAAAUAAACAUGCAAAACUGAAAUUAAAUACUGAUAAAAGAGCGGGUCGCUACAAGUUACCUCACUUUGCAAUGAUAAUGGCAUUGGUGUUCUGAUAAACACUCAUUUUGCAUAGUUUAUAUGGCUUAUUUUCUGUGGUUUAUGUUGGAAUUAUGCCCAUUAUAUUGCAGAUUAUAGUUGAUUUCAUACCAAUUCGAGAUUUCACGCUUGGGUAUAGUUUUGGUAAGUUUGAUUGCAGGAAUGAGUGUUAUCAUAGCAAUUGGAACCAAUGGAACGUGUCUAGGAAGAGAGAUAGGAGAGAAACGAGUCCAAAAGACGAGAAGAGAUGAAGAAAUCGCGCAAGAAUCAAAAGAAGGGCGAUUCGGCGGUCAAAGGCUUGGACCUCCGAAUCCAUGCAUUUUGAAGUCUGGACCGUCGAACUCUCUGACUAGAAUGAACAUAGUGGUGAACCUAUUCGGCGACCCCCAAAUCCGGGGUUUUUUAUGUAGGGAUUUGGCGACCUAUUCGGCGACCGUCGAACGUCCCGUGUUUUCUAGGGUUCCGCAUUUUUGAGCUUUUUAUUCGGAUUUAAACUCUAUUUUUACCCUAAGACUAUAUAUAGGUCUUCUUGUGACCUAUUUAGGGUUCCCAGCUUUAAUUUUUCAAUUUCAUAGCUUUUAGUUUUUAUUUUCUUUCCAGUUUUUAAGGCUUGGAUUGGAUUUUUGCGAGGUUGAAGAUUCAAGCUGUUACAUUCGUUUAUUACGGUUUUAUGUAAUUCAGUUUUUACAAUUGCAUUCUUUUUAAUUAUGUUUAUGUUUUAUUUUAUUAUGUUUGGCUAGUUUUCUUUUUCUAAUUCUAGGGUUUGUAAAUAGUUAACUAAAUUCAUGUGGUCAAUUUGUUAAUACAUUUUUGCCUUCCAGUUUAUUAUUCAUAAUUCCUGGUGCGUGUUUUCUUAUGAAUUAUCUGAUCAAUAGUUUGCAUGUAUAGCUAUUCGGUUUGAGACUUGACGGAGAUAACUGUUUAGCGGAUUCAGGAGUGUAUGAUAUGAUUUUAACCUUGAGACCUGACGGAGAUAAAAAGUUUAUUAAUCUACGAUCUUUGCUGCUCUAACGAGAGUAAUUGAUUAAAUGUGUGAUCUCCCAUCAUAACUGGAUUAAAUUGGUAAUUAGGAUUAAUAGAUAGUUGAUGAAUUUACUACCCUAGGAUCAGUUGUUUUUAUUAUCUGAUUUAUUUACAUGUGUUGUCUUUGCUUUUAUUUGGAAUUUUAGUUUUAAGUUAAUACUCUCCUUUUUCUGAUUGCAUGUCUAUUGUGUUAGUUUGUUUAGGAAAUAAUAAAGUUAUUUCGUUUUUUCAGUCCUCCCUGUGGAGACGAUACUCUACUUGCUAUUUGUUACUACAAUUGUGCCGUGUUAGUUGCGGUUUUAUUGCUAAUAAAAAUAGUGAUCAUGUUCCAAAUAUGGAGUCUCGAUAUAUCCCUCAAGGAAGAUCAAAGCGUUUUGCUCAACAAGCUUCAUAUCUUCAUCAUUUCAGGGUUGAUGUGUUUCUAGAAGUAAUUGAUUUACUACUUCAAGAACUUGACAAUCGAUUUGAUAAGGUCAAUAUGGAGUUGCUUAUAUGCAUGGCUUGGUUAGAUCCUAAAGAUGGUUUCUCUUCUUUUGACAAGGAAAAGGUACUCAAACUUGCAACUUUUUAUCCCUCUGAAUUUUCAAGCAUUGAUUUGAUGACUCUUGAAUGCCAACUUGAUAUAUUUAUGGAGAAUAUGAAAAGAGAUGUUGGGUUUCAAAAUUUACAAGAUGUUGGUUCUCUUUUGAUGAAGCUUGUUGAAACUAAGAGACAUGUGACUUAUCCUCUAAUAUUUUUGCUCAUCAAGUUGGUGUUGAUUCUUCCUGUUGCUACUGCAAGUGUAGAGAGAGUGUCUUCUGGAAUGACGUAUGUCAAGAAUAAGUUGCGAAAUAGCAUGGCUGAUCAAGUUCUAAAUGAUUGUUUGGUUACUUUCAUUGAGAAUGAUAUGCUUUUACAAGUUUCCGAUGACGAGGUUGUGAAAUGCUUUGAAGAAAUGAAGACUCGUCGAAAGAUAAAUUAGAUAGUUAUGUAAUUUUCUUUUGUAUUUUUAACAAUAUUUUGGGAUGUAAUGUUUUUAACAUUAAUAUCUUGUACUUUUAUGCUUAUGAAAUUAUUUUUUGCACCCCCAAUUUUAAAAUCUUAGAUCCGCCACUGAGUAUCUUGCUUUUCUGAUUUCAGUCGUUUCUUGUCUUAGGACUGAUUGUAUAGUUUUGGCAUCAUCAAAAAGAGGAAAUUUGUUGGGAAUUUAAUGAAAUAUCAUAUCCCUAGUUUUGAUGAUACCAAAACUCUUAGAUUUUAUUUUAAUAGACUAGAACUUUUCGAACUCAAGUGUUAGAGUUCAUAUUUUCUAGUUAGACUGUUGUCCUGAAGACUGAAGACCGGUGGACUGAAGACUGAAGAUCUAUCAACUGAAGAUAGCUGUGAAAAGACCAAGUCAAAUACUGAUGUUUUGACUGGACGAGGAUUUCACUGAAGAAUCAGUUAUGACUGAUUUAUUAAUGCUGACCACGUGGAAUUAGCGGGCUGAUACUCAAAGUCGAGUAUCAAUUGACAUUAUUCCUCGGACUGAAGAUUCUAAGUUAAAAGAAAGCCACGAACAUUCAAGUACAGCCGCAUUAAAUGCAGAGACAUUGAAGAUCGUCCUUUCUCUACAGAGCAUUCCUUUUUGGUGCAAACUUUUCAGAGGCGUCUUACCUCAUGUACCUUGAGACGCCGUUCUUCACCAAAUUAGGAACCUCGAAGAUUGAAGCCUCAACCAAAUUCAAAUUUUAUCUCACAACGGCAGAAAUCCUAAAGACCAUCUUGCCAACGGAUCUAUUCAAUACUUCGCCUAUAAAUAGAGCUCGAGGAACAACUCAAUCUUCACCUAUUCAAACGCACAAGCUGAACCUCUGCCAAAUUUGCAACUCAGCCUUCCAUUGCCUUCAAAGUUUGAAUCGAAGAAGAGAAAUUAUCAAAGCCUAAAUCAGUUCACUGAUUAUACACAUUCUCUUAGUUUCUUAGGCAAAUCCUUGUAUUAUCCAAAGCCUUAGUUCCCGAUUACAGAGAGCCUAUUAUCUGUAAUCUAGUUGGAAAUUCGAACCAUUUUCAUUUGAGCAAAAAGAGAGUUUGAGGAUAGAGGAGUUCAGACCAGUGUUCUGACUCCAGAGUUCUUAGCCACCCGCUGCAAAAGGCACUUUAUCUUAGCGUGCUAAGAAAGAGCGAGAAAUCCAACUCAGUGUGUUGGUACUGAAAAUUGUAUUUUCAGUCUAAGGUUUGCUGUGCACCCGCAAGCAUAAGCCCAAAGUAUUUGUCAGUUUGAUCAGCUGGCUGUGAAGGAUUUAGCCUCACGUGGAUCGUUUCUCGGAUAUCUUAAUUCACCAUACAACGAUUAAUUCCUAACAUGCUCCUAUGAAUUUAAGUGCUGCACAUUGGAGUUAGAAUCACUUACUUGUGAAUGUCGAUGGCUGAAUCGAAUGACUCCAGUUCUGACCUUCUGAACUGUAUCCCGCUCAAUUCCCAUCGUUAGAUGGACAACGAACUAUGAGAAUUCCCAAGAAGAAUUCGCUACCUCAAAGUCGGGCCCCUUACUGCUCUCUCUAAAAAACCCUGAUUUUUGUGUGUCUUAUUCUGAGAGCAGAUAUAUGUAUUUAAAGACAAAACACAGACCUAGGGCCCCAAUAACUGUAGUGGGCGAAUUUUACUCCUACUGGGCUCAGGAGACUUUGGGCCAGUCCAGGGAUCAGAUACAAGGAAUAAAGAUGGGCCUCUAAUGAAUUAAUUCUUAUGAUCAGCCCAGAUCAUAAUUAAUUCAUAAGUAUUAAUUCAUUCCACUAGAGAAUCAAUACUGACUUACCCCUUUAUUACCGAUGAUGAGUCGGGGCUUGUAUUUAGACUUAUUAAAUCUCCGUAUUUAAAAUAUCCGACAUCCAUUAAUUAAUUAAAGCUCUGACAGCUUAUAUUAAUUAAUCUCUUUGUAAUCCUUAAGUAGUACCACUCAAACCUUAUUAUUGCGCCUGAACUUAAUCAACCUGCAGGGUUUAACGCAAUGAACCUUUUGAGCUCCUUAAGGGGAUGUCAUUAUCCUAUACCGGAUACGGGUACUAAUACAGAUAACCAAAUAUCAUAUAUUAACCGCUAUCACCCAAGAUACAGAGUACUCAAGUUAAUAUAUAACUCUCACCCAUAGUAAAUCAAAGUGAUACACGAAUCAACAUAUAUAUCUGAAAUCUUAUUAGUAUUAAGAUUUUAUUAAGUCACCGAGAUCUUGAUUCUUCACUUAUGUCAGAUAGAAGAAUACAUCUCACUGUGAUCCUAUCAAUACGUUAUGACGUACCAGUAUAGACAAAUAGUCAAGACAAACUAUUUCCAUCUAUGCUGCAGCCUAGACCAAUGACUCGUCCUAGAGUCAUCUCGGCUGUGAUCUAUUUAUAUCUCUUAAGUUUAUUCCAAUUAUAUGACCUUCUGUGAUCCGUUAAUCACCAUAUAAUCUACUUAUAUAGAGAUAAAGGACAUACAUAUGCAAUCAUGAACACAAUCAGAUAGGAGAUAAAAUAGUGAACACAAGAAUCAUUGUAUACAAGCGUAAAACGUUCUUGCUUUCAGUAUACAAAUCCAACAGGCUGUGGAUGUAGGAACUUGUUCCGAACCACAUUAAAAAUCCUUGUGUUCUUACUUGCUUUCAGAUACUUCCUCUGUGCUCAAAUCACUUUCUCAACUGAACCUACUUAACUGAAAAGAGAAACUAAGAAUUUUAUUUAGUGACGAAUUUUCUAAAGGCUAUUUGAACUAAGUUUAAGCUUUCGCUGCUAAUGUUAUUAGUCUAACUGAUAAAUCUUCGGAUAAUCAGUAAGAUUCAUAAACACUCCUCUGUUUACAAACUCUAGACUGAAGCCUUACGUGGAUAUCAGUUAAAGCCUUGUGUCUAACUGAAAUCAAAAUACUGAAGUUACUUCAGUAUCAGUCUUCAACCACCUUUUAACUGAAGUUUUCGUAACUGCUCUCAUCAGUCAAACCUUUAAGUAUCAGUCGAUACUUCUUCAAUUAUUUACAUAAGUAUUUUAAAAAAUAGCUUACAAGUGUAUUCCCUCGUACACCUGUUCAGUGACCCUCCGGGACCCAAUAAGGACAUUACGACUUCAAGAAAGACCUCAGCCAGGGUCUGACGAACAAAUCAAAGCAUACCUUACACCAAGAAAAUCUUAUGCGAUGAGGGCCGAAUACCUAUCCUUCUACGGGAUGAAUAAAGUCAGACUUCGGGCAAACCUUGGGCUAGGUCAAAUGCCACCCAUCCACCGAACAGAACAAAACAAACCCCCAAGAAUUAAAUCAAAGUAUAUUUAUACCAUUAAUCUCACUUAACUUCUUUAAUCUUGUUGGUUUCAACAAAAAAAAAAAAAAAAAAAAAAAAAACUUCUUUAAUCUUGUUCAACUUUUUUAAUCCUAUUUUAAAUUGGGGACUAUGGACAUAUGGAACCCCCCACAAAACUUCCCCAAUUAUCUACACUCUAUAAAUGGAACAAGACAAAAGGCAUCAUUCAUUCACAAAAAAAUUUGACACAUCUAGCGACUGUCACUUCAUUCCCUCUCUUCUCUGCCCCCCUUUGCAGGCAUCUCUCCCCCUCUCUCUUUCUGCACAUACAAAAGAUAAAAUGAGUGAAGAUUGUUGACAUAAAAUGCAAAAGAAAACCAACAAGGAAAGAAGCACAUGACCUCAUAAAGAAGAUUUCAUUUCUUAUUUCUACUGGUAGUGAGAUGGAUAAACCUCAGGAUGCAUAUUACCCGAUCCUCGACUAGGAAUGUUUGAAAAAGGAGUUGAUGAACAAUAAGCAUGAGGAGAAAUGAAUAUAUAGUGUGAAAAAGAGAUUAAAAGCCAAUGUUAAGUGCUGUCACAUAUAAUCAUUUUCGACUAUGUUCCAAUCCUCCAUAACCAAUAAUAACAAGGAAACCUUUUUUCUUUAAUUAUCAGAAAAAAAUGAUAUUCAUGCUUUAUUGCUUUCUCAUAUAUCCCAUCUCAAUAUCCGUACACGGAGAAGACAUCUGAGAUAUGAAUGCUAAGGCAUUGGAUGAGAUUCUAGUUUCAUCUUAUUUAUUCACACUAGCAUAGAUGACGUGCGUUCGCACGUAAAAAGGAAUUAUUUUAAUGAAUAAAUUGUUACGAGUUUAAAUUUAUAUUCUAUUUCAUUGUAUAGCAAUAUUCAUCAUUUUAGUGUUAUUUUUUAACCAAUUAUUGAUUAAUUUUUAAAAGUAUAAUGUUAUUGAACUCAUAAAUUAAAAUAAUAAUUUUAUUUUAUUUAAUUAAACAUCAGCUAAUUUUGUAUUCAUAUUUAUUUUAUAGGUUUCAUCUUUACAUAAGUAAUUUUAAUUCCAAAGAUUCUAGCAAAAUUAAACUUUCUAAAAAAACUAUUAAGUAGUAAUUCUUUGUAUUAUAAUUCUAAAUUAUAGCAAUUAUAUAAUAAAAAAGCAGUAACUUAUAUGAUAAAGAAUCCUAAUGGAUACUAAUACUGAAAUAACUAUUAAAAUAUAAAGGAUAAACCAUAAUAUAUUUAUAGAUAUAUUAUAUGUAUAAUAUAGUACACAAUUAACUUUAAAUUAAGUAUAUAUAUGAGGGAUAUAAUAGGCAAAUCAAAUUUUGUAAAAUAAGUACAGAUUUUGAAGAUGAGAUUCUACUAAGGCAUUGGAUGAGGUUGGUAGCAAUCAGCAACAACGAGGGUUGUCUUCCUUACAUUCUUGUAAGAGUAGGUCUGUGCAACAAAGGAAUAGAUGAAGAGAUUCCCGGCGGUGAUCCCGGCGAGGAGCCAGUAGAAAUAGUCGAGGCGACUAGCGUUUAGGUCCUUCCCGAACCAGCUCCUCGCCGUGACACCAUCCACCACAGUGAUCAAGAGGCCGCUAAGGAAGCUGGACGCCCCCAACACACUCAGGUAGAAAGCAAUGCCUAAACUCCUCAUCGAAUCCGGCACUUGAUCGUAGAAAUACUCCUGCAGGCCCACCAGCGUGAAGCAGUCUCCCACCGCGAUGAUAACAUACUGCGGCGCCAGCCAGAACACGCUCAUCGACAGCGAAUUCCCGGCGGGACUGGCUUUCACCACGCGGAGGCGCUUCUGCUCCACCAAUGCGGCCACCACCAUGGUGGCCACGGAGAACACCAUGCCGAUGCCGAUCCUCUGCAGGAUGUUGAUGCCCCGCUCAUCUCCGGUCACGCGGCGCAGGAACGGGACCAGGAUCCUGUCGUAGAUCGCGAUGGAGACUACGAGGCUGAUGGCCGCGAAGCCGUAGACGGAGGCCGGCGGGAUGGUGAAAUCGCCGGCGAUGGCGCGGUUGAGGGUGGUGCUCUGCUUGAUGAAGAAUGUGGAGGAUUGGGCCACGCAGAUGCCGAAGGGUAGAGUCGUCAUCCAAAUCGGGAUCAUGUUGAUGAUCAGCUUCACCUCUUCCACUUUUGUUACGCUUGCUAGACGCCAUGGAUUCGCCUUCUCCUUCGAAACCACCUCGUCUUCUACGAUCGCCGCUUUGUCCAGAAACCUGCUUACCAAAAUUUAAAUGUAUUUAACAAAACUAUAAAGACAAAGUAAUUUUCUACAACUUCACUCACUUUUUCAUUUUACACACCAACUUUAAAAAUUAUAUUUUAAAUCAUGAACUUUACAACUCGUUCAAUUUUUUAAUAAUUAUGUUUUCCCCUUAGUGUAAUGCCCUAAUUAAAAGAUUAAUUUGAGUAAAAACGUCAUAACCACGUUGUUUAACAGCAAUAUAUACAAUCUAGUUUAAUUGUCGAAUGUUGAAACGACGUCAUUUUAAUUAAGAUAUGUGUAUAUACACUUGGCAUGUUUAGUGACACAUCGGGUUUUAGGAUGCCAGGAUUCAAUUUUAUGAAAAAAUUGAAAGAGUUGCAAAAUUCAUGAUUCAAAAUGUAAUUUCUAAAGUUGAUGUGCAAAUUAAAAAAGUGACUAAAAUUUAUAUAUUUUGCUGCAGUUAAUUUGGGGGGAGAGGGGGGGGGGGCGAAAAAUAUGAUGCGCUUUAAUUAUUACACAAAUUUAAAUACAAGCAAUGUGUACCUGAGUUUGUUGGUGUGAAGAAGAAGCCUAACCCCUUGAUUCUUAUCCGAUUUAGGAAUCUCAUACAACUGGUCAGAAUCUACUGGAUACGGUAGUCUCCUCUUCACGAAUGCGGCUACAAUCACCUGCAUCAUCGGCGUCAAGGGGCUUCCCAUUGGCUUUCGGUAGCGAUAUAACGGCCGUCCGAUCCAAAUAAUGGCCGUGGUUGAGACCAUCACCGUCGUUAAAAUGAUAUCAGCUACAGCCCAACCUACGUGAUCUUGAAUAUAAACAAUCACCGUGACACCAAGUAAAAGCCCGCAGCAAAGCCCGAAACACCACCAAUUGAAAAACGACAUCUUCUUCCUCUUUUCUAUCGGAUGAUCGUCGUCGAACUGAUCGGCUCCGAAGCUCUCCAACGAGGGUUUAUGCCCUCCGGUUCCAACGGAGAUCAAAUACAUUGCCAGAAAGAAAACAACCUCGUGGACCCUAUGGGAUCCGCCCGCGGACCCCGCGUCCCAGGGCCUCAGCCCCGGGACCACUCUUGACAUUGUCAAGAGAAGUAAGCCCUAUUAAUUUUGCAUGAAAAUUAAAUAUAAAAAAAACGUGUGAGCUCGAGGUGAGAUGUUGGAAUUUAUAAUCUCUGUGGUAUUUGAAAAUGAUAUUAGAUUACCAUUAUAUAGAUAAGGGAGGAAAGCAUGACGGUGGAGAAGCGGCCGAGGUAAGCAUCGGCUAGGAAGCCUCCGAGUAAGGGCAUGAUUGUGGUGACACCAGACCAAUAGUUACAACUCUUAGCUGCUGUUUUGAGGUCUUGGUGAAGUACGGUGGUGAGGUACAUGAUCAAGUUUACAGCUAGCCCAAAAUAACUCAAUCGCUCGCUAAACUCCGUUGCUGUUUCUCAAUACUAAUUUUGUUAUUUUAUGGAAAUUAAUACUCAACAUCUCAUAUAUGGCUUAAAAAAAAAAAAAACAUGUCAUAUGGAUUAACCAUCCAAAAUUUCAUGUUCCAUCGUAUCUAGUUAAUUAACUCGAUUCGACUGAAAUAAGAAACUAGUUAGGCAUGGAUUAUUAACACUUUUUUAAUUAAUCUAAUACUCAUUCCUUUUCACUAAUAAUAAUAUGUAUUUUAUAUUAGGAUGUCCAACUAGAAGUGACACGUUUUUUAAAAUGAAAAAUUUUAACUCUUAAAAAAGUAUAGGUCCUACCACUUUUAAUUUAUUUACACCUUAUUAUUAAUUUUUGUGUCGAAAAAUUUUGAGCCACUUAUAAUAACUACAAAAAAAAAUUCUACUAAUAACAUAAGACUUAAUAGUUAUUAUGUGUGUCAUAAAAAUUAGUGAUAUUUGAUGAUAUAGUUAAUUAUUAAUAAUUAUAUUUUCAAAUAUUAUUAAUUUUUAUGAUACGAAUAUUAGCUAUUAAGUCUCGUAUCAUUGAUAGAAUUUUUUUUUGUAAAAAGUGAGACAAAAAGAGUAUUAUUUUUAAGCAUGCGUGCGUAUAUAAACCUCGCAGUGUAUUCCUAGCUAUAUUCUAAGUUAUCACUUAUCAAGGUUAAUUGUGUCAUUUACAUCAAUCACACUUUCAGAUUUUAGAUUCUCUACUUUAUAACUACUUUUUAUGUUGUCGGUAAAAAUAUCAUGCGAGAACAAAAUAUUAAUAAAAAUAAUGUCGCAUUCUAAGAUCUUUCUCUUAGUCAAGCCAAAAGAUUCGGGCAUGAAUAACAUAAUUUAACUAAUUGGAAAAGGAAUUAAAUUAUUAAAGCAUAUAUGCUCAUUCUCCACUUAUUAAUUGCUUUCUUUAGUUUAAGAAUAAACUUUAAAAUUCUUCGAAAAAGAAGAGAUUAUACCUUAAUGGGGCGUGUGCAUUUGUAAUGAUCGAUAAAAUACAUAAUUAACUAAUUUUAUUCUCUUUAAUUCUACCUUUUAAUAGGAUAUGACUAUAAAUGAACAAAAAUUAAUUCAAAUGUUAAGAGUUUGAGAUAUUCUAUUCCAGUCCACCUUAGUAUACAAUUUUUUAUAUAUUUAGACUAACACAAAAUUUCAUGUACGUACACUCGGAUUGAUCCGUACUCAAAUCCUGACUCGCAUGUUAAUUCAAAUCCGCAUUCUGACUCAAAUUGUAUAAAUAACACUAUUCAAUUAUACAAAUGACACUGCUUAUAAUUGACACUAUUCAAUUAUAUAAAUGACAUUGUAACAUUUUAAAAUGUUAUAGUGUCAUAUUCAAUCUUAUAGUGUUAUUUAAAAUAUUAUAAUGACGUUUACAAUCUUAUAGUGUCAAUUACAAGAAGUGUCAUUUAUAUUUCUAAAUAGUGUCAAUUAUACACAGUGUCAUUUACAAUGUUAUAGUGUCAUUUAUACGCAAUUUCACUUGUAUAACAGAAUAGUGUCAAUUACAAGCAGUGUCAUUUGUAUAACCGAAUAGUGUCAUUUACACAAUUUGAGUCAGGAUGCGGGUUUUGAUCAGAAUACGGGUCAUGAUCUGAGUACGGGUCAACCCAGAUGUACCCAAGACCACCUCUUAGACAAAUCCUCAAAAAUAAAUGCAUGUAUAUAUAUAGGGAGAGAGAUUCAAGAAAGAACCACUAAAUAAAAGAAGAACGAAGAACCAUUUGCAGCCAUUCGAUCAUUAAGAUCUACGGUGGAUGCAUCAUCUUGUUGGAUGAAUGCAGAUCUUGGGUUUGAAUUCUGAAAGGAGCUAAUUUUUUUUUUUAUUUUUUUGAGUGUCUAUUAAUUUUAACAACGAAUGCAUUAAUUUUUACAGUGGAUGAAUUAGAUUUGAUGGUUCUCACGUUUUCACAAAUAAUGUAGUUCUCUAUAGAACCACACCCUAUAUAUAUAUAUAUGUGUGUGUGUGUGUGUAUAUAUAUGGGGCAGUUAUUCAAUAAACCACCCUUAUUUUAAGAAUUACGAACCAGCAAAAAUGCAUGAAUUUUAUGUAUAACACGCAUGAAUAAACUGUAUAAAGGCAUGAAUUGCGAAAAAUAAUUUUUUGCUACCUUUGGGAUUCGAACUCAGGACCAUGAAUUUAUCCAACAAGGUGAUGAAUCAACCGUAGAUCUUGAUGAUCUAAGGGCUGAAAAUGGUUCCUAAUUUAUAUUUUAAGAAGCGUUCUUAUUUUUGCUAUAUAUAUAUAUAUAUAUAUAUAUAUAUAUAUAUAUAUAUAUAGUUGGAUUCAACAAAGAAUUAUCUUUUUCGAGAGAAUGAACAAAUCUAUACAUUUUACGAGCAAAUCAACAUAACUAAUGAACAGACGUUAGUAAAAAUAGAGAAAAACUCGCCACCAACAGGAUUCGAACGCAUGGCAAAAUGUUGUUCAUACGGUACAUUGAUUUAUUCAUCAAAAUUAUAUAUCUGUUCGUUUUUGUUUCACGAAUUCUCUAUUUUCUAAAUAUUUUAUAUGUUAGGUUUUAUUGAGAAGCUCAAAUGUGUUGAUAAGUUGAGAAGCAAUCUAAUAAAUGAACAUGUCAAUUAGUUUUUAUCAUUGGCGGUGACGUAUUUUUAACAAAUUAAAUAGAUUCGUAUGUUCGUCAGUUAUAUUUGGUAUGUUCAAAGAAUUUAUUGAUUUGUGGUCUAAUUGUCAUGUUCAUCUAUUAGAUUGCUUCUCAACUUCUCAACACAUUUAAACUUCUCAAUUGAACGACUCCCUAUAUAUAUAUAGGGUCAAGUUAAACAAAGAAUGAUUCUAUAUAUAGAGAAUAAAGAAGAGAUCUCAUCCAUUAAAACCGCUGCAUCAUGCGGCUUAUAUUGAAUGAAUUUUCCUAUUUUAUUUAAGAAUUGUAAUAUUCAAAAAUUACUGAAAGGGUAUAUGGGUAACUUUCGUAUGAGUGAAAACGGAAAAUCCUAUUUUCACUUUUCAUUCUCUCACUCUUUCUCGUUCCUCAACCCUCAACCAUCUCUCAUUCUCUCUCCAAUCUCUCCGUCUCUCCCCCUCUCCCUUGUGCAGCCACCUUGCCGCCUCUCUCAUCCCUCUUCGCCAUCAGUAGCAGCGGCGAACGGCAACGCCCGUCACAUCCUCGCUAACACAGUGCAAUAUUGCUUCGGUCGCCGGCAUCUGCUCGUCGACGCAAACGGUCAUUGCCGCUGCUGGUCCAAGGGCGCAUCCCGACGCCGUAGCGCCCCCGCGCUUGUAGCCCAUCUCGCCGAUCAAGGUGAGGAUCUCUGUUAUCGCGAUUUUUCCUGUUCGACGGUGAAGUUCAACAAAGGUAUGAUUUUCGAUUUAUUUCACAACUUUAAGAAAUCUUUUGAACAGAUCUAGUGCAUCGUUUUAAUUUUCUCAUUAUUUCGAUAAUUUUCCAUCAUCUUCUCCAAAUAAUUUCGAUUCUGGGCAAAUCAACCUUGACCACUUUAAAUUGAUUUUACUUUUAAAACUUUGUUAAAUGAGAACAACACAACAUAUGUUUGUUGAAAGUUCAAAACCAAAAUUUUCAGAUUUCCAGAUUUUUCAGUGUAAAAGUUACUGCUUCGUUCAAUUCGUUCAAGUUUGCUAGAAAAAAGAAAGCUUCCAAAAUAUAUGUGUUCGUAGAAUCAAAUUUUGCUUCGCACAAUGGAGUCUACGGCAGCUGAACCACCAAAGCAUCGUGGCUGUUAGAUUGACUUUUCAGCUAGACUCCUGUUCAUCGAAGAAUUGUGUUCUGUUCGUUCAGAAAUUGUGUUUGUUCAUUUAAAAAAUUUUGUUAUGUUCAUCUAGAAAUUAUAUUGUGUUCAUUGAAAAGUCAUGAUUGUUCGUUUUAUAUUAUAUUCAUGAUAAAUAUUACUUUAUUCAGUGUAACAUUUUUUUUUCGCAUUUUAUGAUUAAAACUUGUGUUCAGUUCAUUGAAAUAUUUUGGUUUGUUCAUUGAAAAAUUGUGAUUGUUCGUUACGUAUUAUAUUUAUGAAUAAUAUUAUUUAUAUAUGAUUGAAAAUUUUAAAAAUAUUAAACAUAAAAUGUUUCGAACAUGCUUUAAAAAAAUUACGAACAUAUAUACUAAAAUAUUCAAAUCUUUUGAUGAUAUAAAAUAUUUAACAUAUAACUUUUCGAACAAGCCUAAUAAAAUUACGAACAUUUAAAUAGAACAUUCGAAUAUUUCUUGCUGUCAGAACAUAUUUAAUAUAAAAUAUUUUGAAUAAGUACAAAAAAAUUGCGAACAUAAAAAAUUAAAUAUAUUGUAUAGAUUAUGAAAAGAUUAACGUGAACAUAUAUUCUGUACACAACAUACAAAGUUUAAAAUAAAAGAAAUAUAAAGAUUUGGAUGUAUAAUAUCUUACCAAAACUAAGUAGAUAAUUACAGAUCUUCAAAUCUUAAUUAACGGACUUCAUAAAAUUGAACAAUUACAUAUAUAGCCUUUUCGGCUAUAAUUAAGGAAAAUAAACAGAAAAAAAACGGCCCUUGGAUUUGUAAUUUUGGUAUGCUCCAGAUUAAUUCUCCUUUCUCUACAUAUUUAUCAUUCGUCAGUUUAACCUUUCUCUCUCUCUCUCUCUCUCUCUAUAUAUAUAUAUAUAUUGAAANCGUUGAAUGAACGAACGCUGACCGUUAGAUUAGAUAAGAUCAACGGCUGAGAUUAAGACUCUAUACUCUGCCUAUAUUUGUGUUUCUAUUGAACUCUCCCCUAUAUAUAUACUAUAUAUAUAUAUAUAUAUAUAUAUAUAUAUAUAUAUAUAUAUAUAUAUAUAUAGGGGGAAGGCUAAAAUAAGAACGUUUCUUAAAAUAUAAAUUAGGAACCAUUUUCAGCCCUUCGAUCAUCAAGAUCUACGGUGGAUGCAUCAUCUUGUUGGAUGAAUGCAGAUCCUGGGUUCUAAUCCUGAAGGGAGCAUUUUUUUAAUUUUUUUUAGUUGCAUUAAUUUUAAUAGCGAAUGCAUUAAUUUUUAUAGUGGAUGCAUAGAUUUGAUGGUUCUUAUGUUCUCACGAUAAGUGUGGUUCUCACUAUAACCGCACGCUAUAUAUAUAUAUAUAUGGUUGAGUUCAACAGAGAAUUAUCUUUUCAUUCAUCAUGAACAAAUCUAUAUAUUUUACGAACAGAUCAACAUAAGUAAUGAACAGACGUAUUUAGUAAAAAUAUAGAAAAACUCGCCACCAACAGGAUUCGAACUCGGGGCAAAUUUCUGUUCAUGCAGUACAUUGAUUUGUUCAUCAAAAUUACAGAUCUAUUCGUUUUUGUUUCACGAAUUCUCUAUUCUUUAAAUAUUUAGCAUUCUUUGUUGAACCUUUUACUCUCUCUCUCUCUCUCUCUCUCUCUCUCUCUUCUCUCUCUCUCUAUAUAUAUAUAUAUAUGAGUUAUUCACCAACACUAUUGUGUUUGUGAGUUUGGUCGGGAUGGUUUUUGGAUGGAGAGUCAGUUGUUGCUGCGCUGCUGUUUUUCUGGGUGCUGGAGAGGGCUCGGUUUUGGCGGGAUGGCUGGCAGCAGCUGCUGUUGUUGUUUUUGGCUGUGGGCUGAGGUGCGUGGCUGGAGAAGCUUUCUUGGGUCUUGGGGCUGGUGUGGUUUGUGUUCGGGGGGUUGGCAGACAACGAUCGCUGCUGUUGCUGCUCUUUGGAGGCGGGCUGCAGUGUCGGUUUGUGGACGGGGCAACUUGGCCUUGGUUUUUGAGUUGGGUUUUUUGUUGUCUUUAGUUUCUGGUUCAAAGCCGGGAUUUCUUUAGGGCAAUGGUUCGGUCGGAAUUCUAGAAGUUAUCCCAUUUCCGCUUUGUUCUUGGUUUUUGUUUUUUUGGUUUCUUAGACUGGGUACUCUUUUUCCUCUUCUCUUUGAAGAGGUUUUAAUGAGAUCCGGCCCUUACCGUGCUUUUUGUGCUUUCAGAGGUUCUUGGUUUGCUUUUUUCUUUUUCUUUUCAAUAAAUUGCAUUUUAAUAAUAUACAGACAUAUAAAACGUAGCAUCCCACAAGAAGAAAAAUAACAAUAAAGCAAAAACAAUAUUGAUGAAAACGAACAAUAAACUAAACUAUAGUAAAAAAUUUGGGUUCAAACUCAGAAACUUCCGAAUUCAAAUAAAUUUUCAAAACCUAAAGCCCAAAGGGCCCUGCUUUCCUAUAUAUACAGAGACCCCUAUACUAAGCUUUUCAACGACAAAUCUUGGAGAGAGAGAGAGAGAGAGAGAGAGAUGAUAAAAGUGGGGAAAGUGGUGGAAUUAGUGGAAGAAUACAGCUUGAUAAUGGCAAGAAUGAGGGAGCAGAUUAAUUUUCUGCCGCGACGUCGUAUCGAAUUUCAGUUCUUGAGGUCUCUGCAUUCUGCUUCUACUUCCACUUCUGCAGAUUCUUCCUUUUUCAUGUACUUUUAACUUUACACCCAAAUAUUUUAAUUUCUUUCAUCAUUUCUUGAUACUAUUUAUACUUGGAGAAAAAAAAAAUUACUAGUUCAUUUUAGGGUGUUUUAGGCUGUUCAACCUGUUGUAAAUUUUAUUUAUUUUUUAUUGGAUGUAAUAUAUUUUUCUCUCAUUCAUUCUACUGCUGUAGUAGAGGUUUGCUUAUUUAUAAAUAAAUCUUGUGUUUAUUUUUCUUUUUUUGUUAAUGUGUGAUACAUGAUAAUAUGCAAUUUUUUAUUCAUGUUAUGCACAUUUAUAAAGUGAAUAUUUUCCUGACGGAAUUAUUGAUGUGCAUAAUUGAGCCAUUAUUAAUUCCAAAGACAUAAUAGGCUCAAAAUUUGGAUAAGAAAAUUAUAUUUAAAGCUGUCGUAUUUACUUUACUAUAUUACUUAUGACAAAACAAUAAAUAAACUAAGUCAUGGAAGGCGUUUUCUUGUAUAAAAAAGUUUUAAAAAUAAAUUACGAUAUUGUACCUGCAAUUUGGCUUUUAUUCCUCCAAAUUCAAACAUAUGACUCUUGAUACUGCAAUCUCAAUUUAAACUCCAACUACAAUCAAUUGUUAAUAAAACAAUGAAAAAGUAGACAUUUUUCGCUUGGGGAAGUUUUCCAUGAAGAACUUUAUAAAAUAUUUUUCUUAAUUUCCAAUUAAUAAUUACAAUUGGCUCAGACUUUUCAGUGAAAUGACUACCAAUGAUUAUUUUAGACAAAGUCAACUAAUGGGCUUCACAAGUUUGACAAUAGAAAAAACCACAACGUCAUUUCAUUGAAUUAGCAACAAAAUUUAAAAUAGGAGUAUAGAUUAAGAAAAUAAUUAACAAAAAAAAAGUGUAAAACUAUUUUGCGAAUGAAAAUUUAUAUGACGGACUAAUAUAUCUAGUUCUAAACUCACAUUAAAUGACAUAUUUAUCAUUAUAUUAAUUUUUAAAAUUUGUAUUUGAAUUUGAAUCUUAACCUAACCUAGAAGUGAGCCUUAAAACAUUUUUAUAUAAAACUCCAGAGGUCUAGUUAUCCAGAUCACGUUAAGUAAAUGCAAUAUUUAGUUGAAGUUUUUUAACAUUUGUUUGAUGAUGGCAAAUUAUUUGUGAAACCCUAUUCCUAUCAACAAGCCAUGUUCAAAUGUUAUCCCACACAUCAAAUCCAACAUAAAUGCCAUACCGAAAUAAUACUCUAUCUUCAGGUAUAUAUUCAUGAAAUAUGAAACCUAUAAAUGAUUGAUGGGCCAUAAUUAAAAUGGAACCUCAAAAGCUAUCUAUAAAGAUCUCUAAAUAUAGUUGGGAAACAUUAAACUCGAGGAAUUGUGAAAUUCGUGUUGCACCUACUAUUUUCUUGAGAUGUCAAUUUAACCAAUUAUAAGUGGGAUUAAAUGCACAUAAAUUUACUCGAAAUUUAUUUUUAAUAUAAAUUUUUAAAAAUUUACUCUCUCAAUCCAUCAAUUCGUGACUUAGGGAAUGAAACACGAGUUUUAAGAAAAAAAAUGUAUUGUUUAUUAAUUGAGUGGAGAAAAUGACCCACAAAGUAUAUUGUUUAUUAAUUGUCACACCCCAAUUUCUGAAGGAAUAAGUAUAACUGAGGUGCAACUAAAUCAUUGAAUGAACAAGGGAAAAACCUUGUAAAAUAUGAAUAAUGGGAUGAUAAAUCGGGCUUCGCCCCUUUAGAUGAAGAAAGAUAGAUAUCCAAACGAUACUAAUCCAUCGACAAACAUUACAACUUCAGGAUCACAAGUUUAGUUUCAUGCUUCGGAUAACCAACAUUCAUUAAUCAAAAUGCUUAAGAGUCAAGAGUUUAAGCUUAUCAAAUGAUAUCAUUCAGAGUCAUAACAAAAUGUCUUAAGUCAAGGAAACGAAAGACAAUAAAGGCUAGUACUACAGCGGAAGUCAAAACACGGAGUUGAAUCCUAGCCUCAGCUCUUCCCGUCAACACCAGCCAUCAACCUGAAAAACAUUUAAAAAUAUUUGGGCUAAGUACUAAUGUACUUAGUGGGCUGCAACUUUAAAACAUUUCGUAACCUGAAGAACAGUUUAUCCAAUCGUACUUGACAUGACUUAGAAGGUUUUAAAGUGAAAGAACUUCUAAGCAUGUUAAAACAUUUCAUAUAUAUAUAUAUACUUAGUUUUGCGCGCAGAUGUCACACUCAAUUCUGUUACUCGCUAUGAUCCCGGACCUUUUAGCCACCGACGGAUCCAUUUCUCCCAUUACUUGAACUGAGGGCGUAACCCAGACAAGUUUACUUUUGACCUCGGGAUGCUACCCAGACAGGCCCUUACAUUACAUGCUUCGGAACACAUCCAGCAAGCACCCUUAUAACGCCUCUUAGUUAGUGCCCGAAUGGAGAUCAACCCACCGAGUCAGCUAACAGUGUACACAAUUCUCAAAUAACGUGUUAGGUCAUAAGAGAACCUCAAUUGAUUCGUUGUGGCGAGCCUUAAACGGAGCAGAGUGCACAUAAACAUUUUAUUGGAUAAACAGUUUAUUUUUCACGAACAUUUAAGCUCAAUAGCUAAAUCAUACAUUUGGAAAAAUAAGCCCACCUGUAUAGGCAAAGCCAGUCGUUUAACGUUAUCUCUGAAUCGGAAUAGCAGUGCUAAUCCUCCUGACGUUCAAAGCCUUAAGAGGUUUCGGUUGAGAUUCGUUCUAGUUGUUGCUUGAAUGAUGAGUUGAUGGUUUAACUUCUUACUGAAGGGAUAAUGAAUGUGCCGAGAAGGGUGGAGUAAUCUCAUCAAUGGUGUUGGGUGAUGACAGUCGAGAGAGGAGAGAGAGAAGAGAGAGGAAAGAGACGUCUGUUAUGAGGGAUGAAAGAAAAAGGUGUUGUUUAUUAACCCUAUUUACUUAGCCAUCAGUAUUGGAUAAAUAACACAUGCUUAAUUAUCCACUUGCAUAAAAUAUCUUAUCUGUUAACUAUGUUUAUCCACUUGCUUUGACUUCUCUCUCUACUAAAAAAAAUUGUUCCUCACCGGAGCAGAGAAUGCUCGCCAGUGCAGAGGAAUGCUCGCCAGUGCAGAGGGUUCACUCGCCAGAGGAAUCACUCGGCAGGAGGGUUCGCUACGCAGAGGAAUCACUCGGCAGAGGGUUCGCUACGCCAGAGGAAUCACUCGGCAGAGGAAUCCCUCGCCAGAGGAAUCACUCGGCAGAGGGUUCACUCGCCAGAGGAAUCACUCGGCAGAGGGUUCGCUCGCCAGAGGAAUCACUCGGCAGAGGGUUCGCUCGCCAGAGGGAAAAGAAUAUGCAAUGCACAAAAAAAUUUAAAUAACUUGAAAAUUUACAAAUGCUUUCGUAAAUCAUCUUUGUUGGAAUUAAAUAAAUUCUUUUUUUUCUCAAUCCGGCGUGAAUCAUCUUAAAUCUAAGUUCAAAAUUAUUCUAAACUUAGCUCGAGGAAACGGGGUAUUACAUUAAUUGAGUGGAGAAAGAAACUCGCUAAGUGUAUUGUUUAUUAGUUGAGUGGAGAAAAAAAAUAUUAUUUAUUGAAACCCACCAAUUAAAAAAAUGUAUAAAUAGUUACUAAAAAUGAGUAGGACAUGAAUUGGUGGACGGACAAAAAAAAAAUUAGGACAUGAAUUGGUGGACGGAAGAAUCAUUUUAUACACUAAUUUUGAGAUCCUGUUCAAUUCUUACAAUGAAUUUAUCUCCAACGAAUUAAAAACACACUUGAUAUUGACGUGCCUUCCAAUUAUCGGAGAUGCAUGUUUUCGUAGUUAAAAUUGAACAGAGUUUCAAAAUUUAUGUAUAAAAAUUUACUUUAAAAGUUUGUGUUAAAAAUGAAUUCUGACUAAAGUUUGUGAAUUUACAUGCAUUUAACUCUUAUAAGUUGUUAAAUUUUGUUAGAUAACUUUAUAUUUAGAAAAAGGAUAAUUGUGUAAAUACAUGAACUUUACUCAUUUUUGGUAUUUAAUAUGAACUUUAAAUUCUAGUUAUAAAUACAUGAACUUGGCUCACUUUGAGUAUUUUACAUGAAUUUUAAAACAUAGUUAUAUAUAGGGAAAAUUGCACCUAAAUACACAAACUUUGUCGAAAAUCCAUAUUUGACGCGAAGUUAGGAUUUUACAUUUUAAUACACCAAUUUAAGAAGUUGUUCAAUUUUGACACAAUUUUGAAUUCCGGCGACCGGGAUAUUGACGUGGCAGCCGGAAUUGCCACGUCACACACACACACACACUCCACUCUCUCUCUCUCACACCCCACUCUCUCUCUCCUUCCACACGUCAGCUCACCCCCCAGCCACCCCGGUCGGACCCUCCUCCUCCCCACACCGCUGCCGUCGAGCCCCCAGCCGCCCUCUACUGCUGAGAUCCAGGUCGCCGCCGCCGAUUGACCAUGGUGGAGAAGGCGGCGUGUGCCUUCGGCGAAGAUCUGGGCAACGCCAAGUUCAAUUUCCCCGAAAAUCUGCCGAAGAUCGAGAUCCAGGUUGCCGCCGCCCGCUUUGCCCUUGCGUCCACCGGCGCCGAGACCUCGGNNNNNNNNNNNNNNNNNNNNNNNNNNNNNNNNNNNNNNNNNNNNNNNNNNNNNNNNNNNNNNNNNNNNNNNNNNNNNNNNNNNNNNNNNNNNNNNNNNNNNNNNNNNNNNNNNNNNNNNNNNNNNNNNNNNNNNNNNNNNNNNNNNNNNNNNNNNNNNNNNNNNNNNNNNNNNNNNNNNNNNNNNNNNNNNNNNNNNNNNNNNNNNNNNNNNNNNNNNNNNNNNNNNNNNNNNNNNNNNNNNNNNNNNNNNNNNNNNNNNNNNNNNNNNNNNNNNNNNNNNNNNNNNNNNNNNNNNNNNNNNNNNNNNNNNNNNNNNNNNNNNNNNNNNNNNNNNNNNNNNNNNNNNNNNNNNNNNNNNNNNNNNNNNNNNNNNNNNNNNNNNNNNNNNNNNNNNNNNNNNNNNNNNNNNNNNNNNNNNNNNNNNNNNNNNNNNNNNNNNNNNNNNNNNNNNNNNNNNNNNNNNNNNNNNNNNNNNNNNNNNNNNNNNNNNNNNNNNNNNNNNNNNNNNNNNNNNNNNNNNNNNNNNNNNNNNNNNNNNNNNNNNNNNNNNNNNNNNNNNNNNNNNNNNNNNNNNNNNNNNNNNNNNNNNNNNNNNNNNNNNNNNNNNNNNNNNNNNNNNNNNNNNNNNNNNNNNNNNNNNNNNNNNNNNNNNNNNNNNNNNNNNNNNNNNNNNNNNNNNNNNNNNNNNNNNNNNNNNNNNNNNNNNNNNNNNNNNNNNNNNNNNNNNNNNNNNNNNNNNNNNNNNNNNNNNNNNNNNNNNNNNNNNNNNNNNNNNNNNNNNNNNNNNNNNNNNNNNNNNNNNNNNNNNNNNNNNNNNNNNNNNNNNNNNNNNNNNNNNNNNNNNNNNNNNNNNNNNNNNNNNNNNNNNNNNNNNNNNNNNNNNNNNNNNNNNNNNNNNNNNNNNNNNNNNNNNNNNNNNNNNNNNNNNNNNNNNNNNNNNNNNNNNNNNNNNNNNNNNNNNNNNNNNNNNNNNNNNNNNNNNNNNNNNNNNNNNNNNNNNNNNNNNNNNNNNNNNNNNNNNNNNNNNNNNNNNNNNNNNNNNNNNNNNNNNNNNNNNNNNNNNNNNNNNNNNNNNNNNNNNNNNNNNNNNNNNNNNNNNNNNNNNNNNNNNNNNNNNNNNNNNNNNNNNNNNNNNNNNNNNNNNNNNNNNNNNNNNNNNNNNNNNNNNNNNNNNNNNNNNNNNNNNNNNNNNNNNNNNNNNNNNNNNNNNNNNNNNNNNNNNNNNNNNNNNNNNNNNNNNNNNNAAAAGUACCAAAUUACUUAGUAUUUUUUUAUUUAUUUUUCUAUUGGUAUUUUUGGCACAAAUUAUAACAUUAGUGCCAAAAGUAACAACCGAACUCGUGCGCCCAACCCGAUCUGGUCCGCCCAAAUUAAUGACAAUAAAAUUCGAAAUUAUAACAAAUGAUUAUAUUUUUAAGAUGGAUGACCAAAUAUUAAAUUUCAUUACUCAGUAUGACUAUCUCAAAAAUUAGCUCGUCUUAAUUUAUCCAAACACUUCAAAUUUUCAAUUUUGAAAUAUGACUUGACAUCUCAUAAGUUUUGGAAAUGGUUUAUAACAACUCGAUAAAUAUUAAGUUAUCCUAACACUUCAAAUUUUAAAUUUUAAAAUAUGACUUAACAUCUCAUAAGUUUUGGAAAUGGUUGUAUAACAACUCGAUAAAUAUUGCAAUUAUAAGAUGCAAAAGAUCAUAAACUCUUCUCAAUAAACCUAAUUAGUCAUCGUUUUGAAAAGCAUGCUAAAAUUGACUUACGUUGUAUAUUCAGAUUAUUAUAUAAAUAACGUCGAUAUCAUAAUCGAAUGAAUCAAAAAUAAGUUAUACCUAACUAAAUUAUGAGAAAAUUUACAAAUUUAAUAAAUUAAUAUAAAAUGAAGAUAAUGCUAAAAAUAAUUGAUGAAUGUUGCCUCAACCCUCAACUAUUAGCUUUGAAAUUCUAAAAAGAUAACUAUUAUCUUUGAAAUGUAUGAAGAUGAGCUUUUCUAGUUUGUAGAUUUGAUUAAGAACCACUCGUAUGAUAUGGCGAUUUGACCUCCACGUAAAUAACUUUGUUGAUGAUACCAUGUCGGCUUCGCCUACUCUAAAUUUCAACAAAAUUAAAUAAAUAUAUUCGACCAUUUUAUUAUCAUUGUAAUGUCCCACACCAUGUCUCUAUUAUAUGAGAUAAGAUGGAUAGCAUAUAUUAUAUAUAGGUUACAUAUUUAUAAAUGUGCCCGUGAAUUUCAUGGUUUUAAAAAUUGGAUGAUUAAAUUUUAACCGAUUUAAAAUUUGACUAAUUUGGUUUGAUUAUGUUAUAGGAAUAGAAUAUAUAUAUAUAUAUAUAUAUAUAUAUAUAUAUAUAUAUAGUAGUANUUAAACAAAAUAAAAUAAAACUGAAAUUCGAAAUUACCACUGCAAUUACUAUGAUCCAAGAUAUGAAAUUUACUAAACUCCAUUCAUUGGCUAUCAGAAAUGUGUAAGCCUGUACAUAGGUAGGUGUGGAGCACUGGAUUAAGCUCCAAACUCAACUUGAGCGCCACCUCACUGAGUCGAGGUUCCAGAAUCGUUCCUUUAUCGAAGCGCAUUAGAGCACCCGCAUCGCGGGUACUCGAGGAGGUCCUCGAGGAGACCAUCUGCGUCGAGGAGGGUGAUGCGGCGAGGAGCUCCUCGAGGCCUCCUCGAGUUAUCGAGUAUCCUCGAUAGGCCGGUGGUGAUGGCGCGUGCAAUGCACGCGCCCAAUUUAAAAAAAAUAUGAAAAAUUCGAAAAUUCGAAUUUUUAUAUUCUUUUUGACUGCAGCUCCUCGGUCUCCGCACCUUUGACCGACGUCUUUAAUUUUUUUUUUUUUUUUUCCUUCUUCUCUUCUUUUUACUAACCCAUCUUCUUCUUUCUUCUCCACACCUCUUCUCCUUCUUUCUCUUCUUCCUUCUUCUCUUCACACCUCUUCUUGUCCUACAAUUUUCUCCGUCAUGGAUCCACACAACCCUUUCUACGAUCCAAAUUGGUGCCCUGAUCUCUCCUCCGAUUAUCAUCCCGAUAUGGGAGGAAUCAACUUGGAGGAGAGCCCGCCCGAGGAGGAACCGGUGAGUGCUCAGCAGAGUGUCUUCCCACCAAAAAAAGGCGGCCGGAGGAAGGAAAAGGCCACCAAAAUGAAGCACGACAAACCAAAGUUUACCGUCAUACUUACCUUCCACAGCAUACGGAUCUCAUCGUCCAAAUUUGGGCGGAGGAGACCAACGACUCGAUCCGUGGGACGGAUCAGAAGGGAGAGUCAUAUUGGGGCCGGAUCCGCGAACGUGUGUGCCCCAUCCUCGGCGUCGACCUCGGCAUUAAGCAACUUCAAGGCCACUGGUCCCGGGUGAGCGCGGAUGUGCGUCUCUGGGAAGCUGUUUGGGUGGAGACGAGCAACAAUUGGCCGUCCGGUCAUUCGGAUGAUAUGAUUCGUGAAAAGGCCCAAACCAUCUUCAAGGCUAGAAGCCCAACCAAUGCCUCCUUCAAUUUCUGGAACGCGUGGAGAAUUCUCCGGCACAAUCCCAAGUUCAAGUCGAUGUACCUCCUUGGAGACGUGCAUGCCUCCAAGAGGACAAAGACUACGGAAGAGGGCGGCUUCACCACCUCGGCGUCGGGCGAGGAGAUCUCUUCUGCUCGGCCCAUUGGCAACAAGGCGGCGAAGGCGGCGACGGCGGCGGGAAAGGGAAGGGAAGGCUGCAGCGUCGCAUACGAGCUCGGAUCCUCCACCAGAAAUUGUGGAGAGGUUGGAUAGGAACGACGCGCAGAUGAGGGCAUUCACCGCCCAGUACCAGCGGAGGAACGAUCUCCGGGAGAGGGAGCUCGAUAUGCAGCUCCUGAACACGGAUACGACGAACAUGACGGACGCACAACGUGCAUUGCACGCGUCCAUGGUCGCCGACGUGCUCAGGCGUCGUGGUCUAUCCUAGGCUUUUAAUUAUGUGAUUUUAAUGAUGUUUUAGGUUUUUUAAAUUUUUAUGUAUUUUUUUUUAUGUUUUAAGUUAAUUUUAAUUUUUUAUUUAUUGUUUUAAGUUAAUUUUAAAUUUUAUGUUUAAUCCAGUAUUUAAAUAUGCAAUUUAAAUUAUGCAAUAAAAUUUAUAUGAAAAACAUAAAAUCAAAACUAAUAUUAUCAAGGAGGCUAUCAAGGAACCCCAAUGCAGCACUACCUACUCAAUAACACAAAUACUAUCAAGGAGGCUAUCAAGGAGGUCCCAAUGCGGAUGCUCUUAAGCUCGGCUCCACCGUUUCAGCCGAGAACGAGUUUAUUUCUCAUGAAUCACUAAAUCUUGGUUAUGAUCCCACCCCGUGAUAGUAAUUUUCGCCUUCGACUCGGCUGUCGCCACCAAGGUGGACCGACUUGGGGGAAUGGCGGAUGUCGCAGGGCGAGAUGAGAUGGACGCCGCCGAGAACAGCCUCCACGGCGGCGUGGCAACGGGGCCAGCGGUCGGAGCUCAUCAGGCUGACCGAGCUUCCACUUCCAGAUUCGACACAUAUUUGACCUUAAAAAGGCACACAGUACUUUCGAAUAAAUCUUUUAUCAGUACAGCAAACAAGCAAAGUAAUAAAAGCCCUAAUCUACACAAAAUAUUUCAGCGUAUCAAUUGUUUUUAUUUGAAAAAUCCCUAAUCUACACUAGAAGAUGAAAGAAAAGGUAACAAUUUACAGAUCCGAAUAAAAGAUAUGCCUAUAUUCGAAACUAUGAAGUGAUAUGUUGUAAGUUUAUCGCAGAACUCACCUUCUUCGAUGUCGCGUUCGUUUCGCCGAGAAGACAAAGAAAUCCACUCAUUUUUUCUGCAAAUCUCCAAAAAAAAUUUCACAGAACGGCGGUUCUUUGUGGAGAAGAUUUUUGUAGUAUGAAAUUCAACCAUAUUCUACACCAGAAUCAUCGUGAAGAUGGAGGAGUGAAAGGCGGAUUUCAUUGGAAUCUUCCAGAUUUUACUGAUGGGUGUAAUUUUACGAUUUUUCACCCUUUUGACUGUAAAAUUCGAAAUUUAUAUGGUCAAACGCGUUUUGCUUGUCUUUUUUUCAAUUUUAUUCGUUUAUUUUGUUAGUCCAUCAGAUCCCCUACAUCUAACGGUAGGGAUUAAUUCUCUAUUCUCAAUUAAGGCCUAAUUCUCAUGGAUCCAUCCCCCUAUAUAUAUAUAUAUAUAUAUAUAUAUAUAUAUAUAGUAGUGGUAGUGUGUAGUAGANUCCCUAUAUGUGAUGAAAUUUUAAAUUGAUUUGUAAGUGUUGAUUUAAUGUGUCAUAUGACUGAUAUAGUGAUAUUUAUCUGAAGGGAAGAAAUUUUACCUGAGAUCGGAUCUUGGAGGGAGCGAAAAUUAAUUUUUUGACUAUCGUUAUUCAACACUAUAAUAUAUAUAUACAGAGAGAGAGUAUGGUGAAAUAAUAUUCCUUUUCAAUUGUGUGAUCAGUUGGUCAAGCGGUAAAAUAGUUAAUGUAUAAAGUUAAUUGUUUCGGGUUUGAGUCCACCGUGAAGUGAUCUUUUUUUUUUCUACUAUUAAUUUAUAAAGGGGCGUUUACUUUGAAGGAUUAACUUUGAUAGAUAAAGAUAGUAUGACUAAUCUCUUAUUUACUUUGAUGGAUUGAAACUUUGAGAUAUCUCAAAGUCUUGAUUAUUUCUAUCAUUGAAUUAGUUUUGCUUGAUUUUUUUUUUUGAUAAAUUAUACUCACUUCGUCCACAAAAAAUAGUCUUAGUAAGGGACGACACGAGUUUUUAAUCAAAAUGGUUAUUGUAUUGUGAGUAGAGAAAGGGUCCCACUUAAAAAAUAGUGUUUAUAAUGAUAAUUAAUUGUAUUAUGAGUGAAGAAUAUGGUCCAUCAUGUGAUAAAUAGUUUUUAAAAAUGAAAAAGAAUUAAUUUUUGUGAAUAUCUCAAAAUGACAAAAAAAAGACUACUCCCUCCGUCCACCAAUUCGUGUCAUAAUUUGUCAUUUUGGUAUGUCUGCCACUUCGUGUCCUACCCAUUUUCAUUAACUAUUCCUUAACAAGUAAAUCACUUUUUUUUUAAAGUCGUACCAUCUUCUCAAUUCAACAAAUAAACAAUACAUUUUUUAAAAAACCCGUUCUCCCUUCCUCUGAGACACGAAUUGGUGGAUGGAGAGAGUAUUUUUUAUGGACAGAGAUAAAGAAAUUUGAAGAUCGCGUGAUGACGAACUCAAAUCUAGGACCUCAAGCUUUAGAUAUUGAUUCUUAUUCCAUUAAAAAUGUGAGAUAAAAUUGAUUUCAAUUUCAAAUUGAUUUCAAAUCAAUUUCAAAAUUGAAUGGCAAUUUUGUAGUUAAAAUAAAAUUGAAAGUUUAUUUAUAAGCUAUACAUCUUUUUUUUUAACUUCUUAUUUUUCUAUUUUAUUUCUUUUUUAAAAUUGUGAAAUUCGACUAAUUAUAAAAUAUUUGAUAUGCAUAUCAAACUAAAAAUCAUGAUAAGAGCUUUAAUUUGAUAUAUGUUAUGUAAAUAUUGGAUUUAAAAUAUAAAAAUUAUAUUUAUUUAAAGAUUAAAACUUAAGAAAUUCUCUCUUCUCUCUCCUCUUAUUUUUGAAAAAAUCUAUUUUUCUUCAAUUAUAUUUUAAUUUAUAUUAUUUUCUUUUUUCACAAUAUCAUUUUUUAUUAAUAAGAAUUAUUCUUUAUUAUUUUUAUAUUAAACUAAAAUAUAUUUAUCUUAAAUUAUACUAGUAUUUUUAAUUAUAUUUGAAUUUUUAUAUAAUAAUUAAAUGAUAAUUAAUUUUAUAUAUAAUAAAAUAUAAAAAUAUUUUUCGUGUUUUGCACGAAUGCAGAUGCUAAUUAUAUUCUUAAAAUUAAAAAUACUCAAUCAUGUAAAGUAAAGUAUCACCCAUAAAACAAAAAAAAAUCUUCUUUAAUUUGUUCAUUUUGUUGUGUGAGGGUUUAACUAUUGUUCCGUACUUGGGGUAACUAUUGUUUCGUAGACAAAUCACACAAAAUUCCAAUGGAGUAAAUGACAAUCAUAACAAGUCACAUGUUGCUUUAAAUUUCAUCGAGGCCACUAAUUUGUAAUUACGACAAAAUUCAAUUAAUUCAAUUCACGGUAUUUGAACUUGUUCUUAUCUUUAUAAAAGUCUUGUUCCUUUUCAUUUCCCCUUAACAUAUUUGUCAAGUAAAUUUGUGCAAGGAACAUAAUAUAUAUUCAUUCAUAAACAAUAGUACUUGACGUUAUAUAUAAAUUAUUUCAAAUGUUUUAGAUCAUCAUGAUAUAUAAAUUGAGUUAUGGCCAAAAAAUUACCGCGGUUGGAAAAUUAAUGUGGUGUGAACCACACUAAUGUAAAAUCGGGAUCGUUUCUGACGAAAAAUGAGUCCAGGACAAAACGAUAAAAAUGAACCCUCUAUUCACCAUCAUAAAAACACAAAAAACACUUUUUUAAAAUCAUAUUAUAAUAUAUUGACAAAAAAGUAUUAAUAAUUAUAAAAAAAUGACUAGUUCUUGCCUUUUUUUUACUUGCUGAAAUAGAAAUUUUAUUAAAAGAAAGAAGAAAA
rnacentral:lncRNA from 1 species